rnacentral:rRNA from 1 species
UACAGAGGUCCCAAGCGUUGUUCGGAAUUACUGGGCGUAAAGGGCGCGUAGGCGGCCUUCUAAGUCGGACGUGAAAUCCCUCGGCUCAACCGAGGAACUGCGUCCGAUACUGAAAGGCUUGAAUCCGGGAGAGGGAUGUGGAAUUCCAGGUGUAGCGGUGAAAUGCGUAGAUAUCUGGAGGAACACCGGUGGCGAAGGCGGCAUCCUGGACCGGCAUUGACGCUGAGGCGCGAAAGCUAGGGGAGCAAACGGG